UACGUAGGGUGCAAGCGUUAAUCGGAAUUACUGGGCGUAAAGCGUGCGCAGGCGGUUAUGUAAGACAGUUGUGAAAUCCCCGGGCUCAACCUGGGAACUGCAUCUGUGACUGCAUAGCUAGAGUACGGUAGAGGGGGAUGGAAUUCCGCGUGUAGCAGUGAAAUGCGUAGAUAUGCGGAGGAACACCGAUGGCGAAGGCAAUCCCCUGGACCGGUAUUGACGCUGAGGCGCGAAAGCUAGGGGAGCAAACGGG
rnacentral:rRNA from 1 species